rnacentral:rRNA from 1 species
GGCGAACGCUGGCGGCGUGCUUAACACAUGCAAGUCGAACGGAAAGGCCCUGCUUGCAGGGUACUCGAGUGGCGAACGGGUGAGUAACACGUGGGUGAUCUGCCCUGCACUUCGGGAUAAGCCUGGGAAACUGGGUCUAAUACCGGAUAGGAGCCAUUUUUAGUGUGAUGGUUGGAAAGUUUUUUCGGUGUAGGAUGAGCUCGCGGCCUAUCAGCUUGUUGGUGGGGUAAUGGCCUACCAAGGCGGCGACGGGUAGCCGGCCUGAGAGGGUGGACGGCCACAUUGGGACUGAGAUACGGCCCAGACUCCUACGGGAGGCAGCAGUGGGGAAUAUUGCACAAUGGGCGCAAGCCUGAUGCAGCGACGCCGCGUGGGGGAUGACGGCCUUCGGGUUGUAAACUCCUUUCGCUAGGGACGAAGCUUUUUGUGACGGUACCUAGAGAAGAAGCACCGGCUAACUACGUG